rnacentral:lncRNA from 1 species
GCACUUUGAAUUAUAUCUGAAAAUGAGCCAUCAGCCAAUGGAGCUCUAGUCUACAAACAAAGUGGUAAGGAAUUUGUUGAGCUGCAAUUCACAUCAGUUCC